rnacentral:rRNA from 1 species
CUACCGGGGUAUCUAAUCCUGUUCGCUACCCACGCUUUCGUUCAUCAGCGUCAAUAAGUACGUAGUAAUCUGCCUUCGCAAUUGGUAUUCCAUGUAAUAUCUAAGCAUUUCACCGCUACACUACAUAUUCUAAUUACUUCCAUACUAUUCAAGUCAAGCAGUAUCAACGGCAAUUUUAUAGUUAAGCUAUAAGAUUUCACCACUGACUUACUCAACCGCCUACGAACCCUUUAAACCCAAUAAUUCCGGAUAACGCUCGGAUCCUCCGUAUUACCGCGGCUGCUGGCAC